rnacentral:lncRNA from 1 species
UUCCAGGUUGUUGUUUUUGUUUCCUCCCCUCUUCCCCCUUUCUCCUGUUAUUCAGCUUUCCAAAUUAAGAUCUGUGUGUUCCAGAUUGUGUUGAAAUUGAAGUACAAGUCACAUUACCUGCAGGGAACCCCACUAGAUGCCAAGAUGAUCAUGCAGAGUGCAUUGUCUCUGAGUCCUGCUUCUCACUGCAGACCUCAGGGUCCUCCCAUCCCCUCCUAUAGCCUCAAUGAGUAAGGGCUGGGAAUCACUACAUGAUUCGCUCUCUUCCUUUUGCUUUUGAAGAGGAGGCAGUACUCUUGUCUAGGUUGCCUCGAGCUUGAUUUUUCCUAGGAAGAGUCUCCAAAGGAUGCAAUGCAGUGAUGUAUGAAAGGAACAGGUGGACAGCAGUCACUUAUGUUUUUAACAGCAUCCUGCAGACCUUCCAACUCAAACAAGAACUCCCAUUUUUAAAGACAAAAGUGGUAUUUCUCCCUGGCCUGCCCCUCCAGGCUUCAGAGGUAGAAACAGUGACUGUGAUGUACAAACCGGGGAGCUUUGUCCACCACAGGUGCAAUGGACACUGUUGACUUAUAUGUCCACCACUCUAUCAGCAGGGUUCUCUGAGGAACAAGGACCUUCCAGAGUGAUGCUUUUCCCUAGUGGCAGCCUUGGCCAGGGCAACAGACAUCUGCACAAACGCAGGGUGUUGAAGCAGCUGUUCUGAGAUGCAGUGCCUGAGAAUCUGGGAUCCACAAUGUGAACUUCUCAACAACCCCUGCACCUGCCACUUCCCUGAAUCUUCCACUAAGCACCAGAAGACACAUGCAUUUUAAAUCAAAGGAAUGGCUCCCAUGCAGAAACCAGAGUGUUAAAAUGGAUCCCUCCCACCCUGAACUCUGACUGGUUUGGUUCACCUCAAAGACCAUCCUCCUGCUAUAUGGUUUCGAUAAGUCUAAAAAGAUGAGCCAUUCAAGCCACAGUGUCUUCUAUCUCCAAGCUGGUGAGACACACUGCAGUCCUCUACAGAACAGAAGAGAGACAGUGCACAAGAUUGCUCUUGGGAGCUUGAUGAUGAUUGACAAGGUGUACUCUGGUCCUUGCCUGCCUCUGCAGGCUUCUCUCUUCUCGAACGCACUCUAGUCUAAGCUCCAGACACAAAUUGUCGUUGCCCUGAGUGGACCAUGUUCCCUCUCACCUCCCCACGUUUGCAGAAGCUUUCUUCAAAUCCCCAGAGCUGCCUUUUCUGUGACUAGUCCCCAUUUGUCCUUUAUUCACAGUUUAACCUCUCAAAAACCUGCCUGGAAACCCACCCCCAGAAGGGCUAAUGGACCCUCACUAGGUCUUCCUAUACCAUCAUCCGCUUCCCCAGUUAAAAUUGUACUUAGCGUAUUUGUGAAAUGAAUAACUGGAUGACUUUCUCCAUGCUGGGCAUUGUGCUAAAUGUUUCAAGUACAUAAGGCAUUCAAAUCUAGAAGAGCCCCGUGUUUGGUCCUAUUAUUAUCCCCAUUUUACAGACAAUGAAAUUGAGGUUUCAAGAGGGUAAGUCAUUCCCAUGCUGUCCAGUUAAUCUAUUUUGAAUGGAUGUGGAUAUUCAGGAGAAUCUGAUGAGAUGGGCUGAUCUGAUUCUCUCUCGGAUGCCCUAUGAUUUGGCACUACUUGGGGGCUCAGGGGCCUGAUGGAGCUGUGAUCACAACCUGGCUCUUCACUAAUUAGCUGGUGUCAAUGACCAGCACACUUUAGCCCUGAGUCCGUUUCCUCUUUGGCAAAUUGGCAAAAUAAUGACUACCUUCCCAACUGUUAUGAGGACAAAAAAAUGAGAAGCUGUUGAGAAAGCACGUAGCACCACAUCCAGCAUUUAAAAAACAAAUUUUUUAAAGUAAAAGAUGAGGAGUUUCCCUUUCCUUAAAGGAAGUAAUCUGUCUCUGCUACCUUGUGCCACAGUUAAACUGCACAGGCUCAAUAACUUAUGUUUUGGUUAAACGUUUUUAAUUUUUUUAGAGUGAAAUCCGAGUUUUUGUUGGCAAGUGAUUGAACACGCUGGGCCCAGCCUGCAGGCCCACAGUCCAUUAGGAAAUUUACGAGGCGAGAUGGGGACCUUCAGCUCAAGUACUCCCUUCAGACGCAGUACUUACAAAGCCAUCAAUUUCCUUAACAAAGAGCAUUGGCUUAAAUGCCCCUUAAAGCAGUGUUAUUUACACAGCUAUCCACUUCCUUUUGAAUUCUCUGCCUGGGGGGUGGCAGACCUGCAGUUCUUUCCAGCUACGAGUUAAUUAGGCUCUCUCCCCAAAUGGAAGCAAGCCGCAGACUGAGAUUUGGUAUUAAAAAGCAGCUCAAUUUGGGGCCAUCCGAGAGUCUUAUGGGGUGAUCCAAAUACCACCAAAAUCACUGGUUCCACCCACCCAUUCUUCUAAAAUUCUAAAGCCUUUGGACCUUACCAAAGAGUAAUGACCUCUGUCAGUAUAGAGAUAGAGAAGGAAAGGCAGCAUUUGAGCCCGUCUCUACUUAGUGAAAGAAGCCUCAAAAAAGUACUGCUGGCUAAGAUAGCAUACUUUCUACCUCUUGGUGUAUCGAUAUAGUAACAUUAACAUUUUAAAGAAGCCCCCACCCCUUUUGUGGGGGAACUAGGAUUUGGAUACAAGCAGCCCAGUUCAGGGGUCUGAGCAUGAAACCACCACCCCAAGCCACCUGACCCAAGAUAACCUGCCCGAGAUGACAGCUAAGGGGGAAAGUCUCCUAUUCAAACAGGAUUGUCUGACUCUAAAGACCAGCAAAGCUCAACUACACUUUCUUGCCUGAAAAAUAAAACUGUCUCUUAAGAAAU